GACGAACGCUGGCGGCGUGCUUAACACAUGCAAGUCGAACGAUGAACCGGUUUCGGCCGGGGAUUAGUGGCGAACGGGUGAGUAACACGUGGGCAAUCUGCCCUGCACUCUGGGAUAAGCCCGGGAAACUGGGUCUAAUACCGGAUACGACACUCCGAGGCAUCUUGGGGUGUGGAAAGUUCCGGCGGUGCAGGAUGAGCCCGCGGCCUAUCAGCUUGUUGGUGGGGUAAUGGCCUACCAAGGCGACGACGGGUAGCCGGCCUGAGAGGGUGACCGGCCACACUGGGACUGAGGCACGGCCCAGACUCCUACGGUAGGCAGCAGUGGGGAAUAUUGCACAAUGGGCGAAAGCCUGAUGCAGCGACGCCGCGUGAGGGAUGACGGCCUUCGGGUUGUAAACCUCUUUCAGCAGGGAAGAAGCGAAAGUGACGGUACCUGCAGAAGAAGCACCGGCUAACUACGUG
rnacentral:rRNA from 1 species